AGAGAGCUGGAGAUUUUUAUUUUUUUCUUUUUAAAAAUGUUGCAUCUUCCCAAAUAAAUUUAGCAACUUAGUUUGGUUGGCGGUAAAAUGCAUCCAAAACACAGCUUAAAUAAAACAGUCAAACAAUCUUCCUUACAAUUUAGAUUAUUCAUGAUUCAUUUAUACUUUCACCAAGCACUGGUAUGACCUUAAAAUAAAGAGUUUAAGUGAAUGUUUUCAUUACUGCACACAGGUAAUAGUAUUCAACUGAAAUGAAGACAGCCAGAUAAUAGUGAUGACUAUUUUUUUUCACACCUAAUCAAGCUGCAAUUCUCCUAGAGUGCUUCUACUUCUCAUUCUUCAACUGAAAGCUCUCUCUUAUACCUAAACAGGUAAAGUGGAAAAGGAAUUUGAUGUUUUAUCAUCCACAAUUUAAUAAAGCUGUGGGUCACUGAGGCUCAUUCUACUGUUUUCUUUGGUAGUUUAAGAUGCUAACUAAAUUGCCAUUGUACAAGGACCCCAAAUU